rnacentral:RNase_MRP_RNA from 2 species
UAGCCACAGGAUGAAGUGAGCGGGCCUAACCAGCCCUGGAAAGUCCCCGGGCCCCAUGCGCAGCGAUGCGCCCACGGAGACGUGGACGGCCCAUGAGCCGGCUCUCCCUGCCUCGGCGGGGGGCUGAGACGAGUGUGGAGCCCAAUCACAGGGGGCCGGCUCUGGGUCAAUUGGCUAAUCUCACAGUUAUUCACUUGGUCCUGUGGACGGCCCAUGAGCCGGCUCUCCCUGCCUCGGCGGGGGGCUGAGACGAGUGUGGAGCCCAAUCACAGGGGGCCGGCUCUGGGUCAAUUGGCUAAUCUCACAGUUAUUCACUUGGUCCUAAUUGGAUUAACAGAACGGGGCUUACACUCCUGUGGCA